rnacentral:siRNA from 1 species
GUAAAGUUUGCCUAUUGUAUGUAC